AGCGAACGCUGGCGGCAGGCCUAACACAUGCAAGUCGAACGAACUCUUCGGAGUUAGUGGCGGACGGGUGAGUAACACGCGGGAACGUGCCUUUAGGUUCGGAAUAACUCAGGGAAACUUGAGCUAAUACCGAAUGUGCCCUUCGGGGGAAAGAUUUAUCGCCUUUAGAGCGGCCCGCGUCUGAUUAGCUUGUUGGUGAGGUAAUGGCUCACCAAGGCGACGAUCAGUAGCUGGUCUGAGAGGAUGACCAGCCACAUUGGGACUGAGACACGGCCCAAACUCCGACGGGAGGCAGCAGUGGGGAAUCUUGCGCAAUGGGCGAAAGCCUGACGCAGCCAUGCCGCGUGGAUGAUGAAGGUCUUAGGAUUGUAAAAUCCUUUCACCGGUGAAGAUAAUGACUGUAGCCGGAGAAGAAGCCCCGGCUAACUUCGUGCCAGCAGCCGCCGUAAAAC
rnacentral:rRNA from 1 species